AUUGAACGCUGGCGGCAGGCCUAACACAUGCAAGUCGAACGAGUGGCGGACGGGUGAGUAAUGUCUGAGAAACUGCCUGAUGGAGGGGGAUAACUACUGUAAACGGUAGCUAAUACCGCAUACCAUCAGAUGUGCCCAGAUGGGAUUAGCUAGUUGGUGGGGUAACGGCUCACCAAGGAGACGAUCCCUAGCUGGUCUGAGAGGAUGACCAGAACUACUGGAACUGGGAUACGGCCCAGACUCGUACGGGAGGAAGGAGUGGGGAAUAUUGAAAAAUGGGCGGAAGUCUGAUGAAGCAAUGGCGAGUGUAUGAAGCAGGCCUGCGGGUUGUAAAGUAAUUUCAGAGGGGAGGCGUUACCCGCAGAAGAAGCACCGGCUAACUCCGGGCCAGCAGCCGCGGUAAUUC
rnacentral:rRNA from 1 species